AUUGAACGCUGGCGGCACGCUUAACACAUGCAAGUCGAACGGCAGCAUGGUAUGUGGUAACACAUACUGAUGGCGAGUGGCGGACGGGUGAGUAAUGCGCAGGAAUAUGCCUUAAAGAGGGGGAUAACAUGGGGAAACUCAUGCUAAUACCGCAUGUGCUCUGAGGAGCGAAGCUGGGGACCGUAAGGCCUGGCGCUUUAAGAAUAGCCUGCGUCCGAUUAGCUAGUUGGAAGGGUAAAGGCCUCCCAAGGCGAUGAUCGGUAGCUGGUCUGAGAGGAUGGACAGCCACACUGGGACUGGGACACGGCCCAGACUCCUACGGGAGGCAGCAGUGGGGAAUAGUGGACAAUGGGGGGAACCCUGAUCCAGCGAUGCCGCGUGUGUGAAGAAGGCCUGAGGGUUGUAAAGCACUUUUAGUGAGGAGGAGGGUUUACAGGUUAAGAGCUAGUGAACUGGACGUUACUCACAGAAAAAGCACCGGCUAACUCCGUGCCAGCCGCCGCGGUAACAC
rnacentral:rRNA from 1 species